AGUGAACGCUGGCGGUAGGCCUAACACAUGCAAGUCGAACGGCAGCACAGUAAGAGCUUGCUCUUACGGGUGGCGAGUGGCGGACGGGUGAGGAAUACAUCGGAAUCUACUUUUUCGUGGGGGAUAACGUAGGGAAACUUACGCUAAUACCGCAUACGACCUACGGGUGAAAGCAGGGGAUCUUCGGACCUUGCGCGAUUGAAUGAGCCGAUGUCGGAUUAGCUAGUUGGCGGGGUAAAGGCCCACCAAGGCGACGAUCCGUAGCUGGUCUGAGAGGAUGAUCAGCCACACUGGAACUGAGACACGGUCCAGACUCCUACGGGAGGCAGCAGUGGGGAAUAUUGGACAAAGGGCGAAAGCCUGAUCCAGCCAUACCGCGUGGGUGAAGAAGGCCUUCGGGUUGUAAAGCCCUUCUGUUGGGAAAGAAAAGCAGCAGGUUAAUACCCCGCUGUUCUGACGGUACCCAAAGAAUAAGCACCGGCUAACUUCGUG
rnacentral:rRNA from 1 species